UGAUCUGCAAAUAGAAAAACGUGAAGAUAAGCUUAAUUAAGUAUUUAAAAUUGAAUUAAAUAGACUAGUCAAGAAGCCACUCAACGGAUUAACACGUUAUCUUAAAAAUGUUUCCGUUUUCUGAUGCUAGAAGGAAACGUUAAUUUUGACAUCAAACCAAAGGCUUAAUUAAUACCUCAAACGAUCUAAACGCUUGGGAAAUUGUACAAAAUACUAGAAGAAGUCACAUAAACACAUACUCUACUUCUCAGUAUACUAUUUUUAUUCUCAAAAAUUGGACGUUAUUUCGAAAAUUUCAACUUAAAGAGGAUCAUUUUAAUAGAAAAGAGUUGGACAGAUUCUCGGGAGACAAACGGAAAUGAAUGUUUAGUUUUGACAUCAACGACUCGAUGGGGGAAGAUAUUGACCCUUAUUUAAUUAUUCAAGCCAACUUUAACUUUUCAGUAUGUCAUUUAACAAUGAAAAAUAAUGGAUUCGAGUAAUUUAUACUCUAUCUUGCUUCCUGUUUGUUUAAGAUUAUCUUAAUAACUAACCUAAUCACAUUUUAAAUAAAACGCCUUCAGCUUUUAAAUGAAUAAUUAUAAAUUCCUCAAAUUUUUUUACUGACGCCAUAUUGAAUUAAGAAACUUAAAUAAAGAAUAAAAUUUUUAAAUA